GAGUUUGAUCAUGGCUCAGAACGAACGCUGGCGGCAGGCCUCAAACAUGCAAGUCUAGGGGGUGUAGCAAUACAUCACCGGCGGACGGGUGCGUAACACGUGGGAAUAUACCUUUUGGUUCGGAACAACGCAGGGAAACUUGCGCUAAUACCGAAUGUGCCCUUACGGGGAAAGAUUUAUCGCCAAAGGAUUAGCCCGCGUCCGAUUAGCUAGUUGGUGAGGUAAUGGCUCACCAAGGCUCCGAUCGGUAGCUGUUCUGAGAGGAAGAUCAGCCACACUGGGACUGAGACACGGCCCAGACUCCUACGGGAGGCAGCAGUUGGGAAUCUUGCGCAAUGCGCGGAAGCGUGACGCAGCAACGCCGCGUGGGGGAAGAAGGCCUUCGGGUUGUAAACCCCUUUCAGUUGGGACGAAGCUUCGUCGGUGAAUAGCCGGCUGGAGUGACGGUACCUUCAGAAGAAGCCCCGGCUAACUACGUGCCAGCAGCCGCGGUA
rnacentral:rRNA from 1 species